GGGGUGCUCCACCUCUUAGGCUGGUGACAUCCAGCCUCGAUGUGCCUUUCUUCUUCUGCCCCUCUGGGAAGCUCUGCAGUUUCCACCAGGAACACAGUCUGGGUAGAUAGCCUCGAGGCUCAGGGAUGCUCCCUUCCCUGUCUUCUGGCCAGCACCUGGGCAUGGGCUUUGCAGGGUAAUGUUUUAUAGCAGACAGGCUCUCAAUAACAUUGUCUCUUUGCUCCUCAGAAAGCAAGUGCCCCAACAACCAGGGACCCUGAUCCCAUGGGGAACAGGGGACCCCAGGGCUGUUUGUGCUGUGAACCUCAGCUGCUUUUCCAGGAAUGAAGCAUCCUACUGCCAAAGCUCCCAUGAUCCGAGAAGGUGUGAAGUGAAGAGGACAAGGAGAUCAUCUGUGGAAAUGUGGAAAGCAUUCCAAGACUUGGCUGAAGCCAGCAGCGUAGUGCCUGUCUCCCACUCCCCUGGAGAUGGGCUGCAGUAAAAACAAUAUUGAAUACUUAGCACUUUGUUUUUCUUGAAUUGUUUCAUUGGUCUUUGGCUUAAAAA
rnacentral:lncRNA from 1 species